UUUUAGUUGGGACGUAGUCCCAACUAGUGCACUUACAAACCCGAAAUUUCCAACCAUACAGGGUAACGCCCACUGCUGUGACGUUUCAUCGCCACUCUAAAUGCUAUAUUGUAUUCUAACAUAUCAACGUAAGCUGAAUUCAUAGUGAUCACCCGACCAUGACCGACGCAUAACCGCCGCGAGUGAAAAAUAGUGCUCUGAAUUUCUGAAAACUUCGAUUUAUUGCGAACAGAAGUGGAGACAAGAAAUUUAUUUUUUGAAAAUAAUGUGCAAUUGAACUUGAAUUACGGUAUUAGAAACGUAGCGGAUAUAAUUUGAAAGGUCACAUAAUUCUAUGAAUGGGAUAGUAAAUUAAUUGGGUCAUAGUGCUUGACGGCUUGCAAUAUUUAACUUACUCAUCCGCCUUAACAUCACAUUUUUUUGUAUUAUAUUCCAGAAUUUUUGAAAAAGACAUUAUUUAUCGGAUAAAUGUUGUAGUUUAUAAUUGCAAAGUGGAUAUUGAAAUAGAAUUAGCCAGAGAUGUAGAUAAUCUAUUCGUCUCUGAAUUAGCCGAUAAUUAGGUUAAAUGAAUCCGACAACAUCCGGUAUAUUUUUCGACCUACUUCACGAGCAUAAUUAUCAGCCUGUUAAGCUCAUAAGGGAAAUAAAAGAUUAUUUACUUUAAUAUUCACUUGGAAAGGCUGGUACAUGUAGCUAGAAAAAAGUACAGUAUAAGAUUAAAGAAAGACUAGAAGAUUAUUACAAACAACAGGUGGACAUGUGUCACUGUCAAGCGAAUGAAGAUAAGCAUCACACUUGGUGGGAAUCUCCAGUUUCCAGAUGUAGUGAUCAUAACUGUAUAGGCACCAUUAACACUUUGGACUAGUUGGAGUAUUUUAGAGGGCUAGUCUGAAUUGAAUCCCCUGUCAAUAGUAAAGGCCAGUCAUGAACAUUGUGUUGAAGGAAAAUGUUAAAACUCGGAUUUUCCGCUUAACCAAUCAUUACUUUACCUUAUAUUCAGUGCGGUAAUGUAGGAAAUGGUUACUUUCUGGAACGGAGCUGUCAAUUAUUUUUAAUUGUUUAGCUUGUUAGUGUUAUCGUCGGACAGUUGUGAAGUAAAGACAUCGCAGUUUGACUGUAAACUAUACAAGUUGCCUUAAAGAAAGUAUGUCGAAAUCUUAACAGUUAUUGGUUGAUUUUGUAAAAAUUGACCAGAAUUCACCUUUGUUUACACGCAUCGCUUGGACGUCAAAAACGACAUGCAAUGACAUUUCAGUGAAAUUUGGAAACUUGCUUGUAUUUUGGAGCAUUUUGUAGGAUUUCGAUGAAGUAAAAAGUGUUUAUGAUAGGAUACAUUAUUCCUAGAGACAACCACAAAGAUAAAAUAGUGAUCUGGUGUAUUUUUACCGAACAGUUCUUGUUUGUUUUGCAUGAUAUUUUUCUCUCUCGUUAGGGACCUUUAUUCUUUAUAUAUAGUAUUAUGAGCGUAUAUGGGUAAAUGUGGUAUAUAGUGCCUGUGGUUUUAACAUGUAUCUUAGCUUGCCUGGUGUAAUGAUAAGUAAUAAACCUGAGAAUUGAAACUAUGAGAAUAAAUUGUUGUUAUUAGUCCCCUUCUAUUUUCAUUAAGAGGGGACUAAAGGCUGACCCAUUUCUGUAUGUCAAUGAAAGCUGAAUUUUGCUAUAACUUAAAUGGUACAAAAGUAAGGUUCAUCAUACUGGUAUCUGAUAUAGAACUAUACAGAGAUUAAGCAUGUUAUUAUAAUUUAUGCUCCUGAAAGGGAGAGAAUAUAGUUGCGGUCUUAACCAUCUGUCGGUAUGGACUCAAGUAAUAUUCUGGAUAAAUAUCUGUGUUCAUUCCAUACAGACUUGUACUUUUGGGGAAAAGGUUCCUCAUGGGAGGAAAAUAUGUUUUUAAUGGUGUUUUUGAGAUUUUAGUUGAUAAAGGAAAAAAAACAUAGUCUGUACUUAGGAAGACAUUUGUCCUUCACACUCUUGUCCGAAAUAUGAAUAUAACUAGAUAUGUAUUGAAGGGAUUUUAUGUAAACUUCACAAAGUGAUAGAGACUUUUAAGAGGAAGUGCAAUGUUCAAGAAACAUAACUCUACCUUGCUUCAUGUUUUAAUUAUAUCCUUUAAGUUAAAAAUGCUUAUUCCAAACUAUCAAUGAAUCUACAUCAACUUGAACGACUCGAAUUUUCCAAUGUGUCAAAGAACCAUAACUCCAUUCCUUAGUUUUUAGCUCACCUGUCACAAAGUGACAGGUCAAGCUUUUGUGAUCCCUUUUCGUCCGGCCGUAAACUUUUACUUUAAAUGACAUCUCCUCAUAAACCACUACGCUAAUUUCAUCCAAACUUCACAAGAAUGUUCCUUUGGCUGUCACCUUUAAAAAUUGUGCAAAGAAUUUAAUUCCAUGCUGAACUCUGGUUGCCAUGGGAACCGAAAGAAAAAAACUUUAAAUAUCAUCUUUAAAAAAACCCUAAGAGCUAGAGCUUAGAUAUUUGGCUCGAAACAUCCUUUAGUG